rfam:Picea glauca, whole genome shotgun sequence.
ACAUGCCUACAACAUAGCAUUAAUGCACUAGAUGCCAUUAGAACUCCACAGUUAAGUGUGCUCGGGAUAGAGUAGUACUGGGAUGGGUGAUCGCCUGGGAAGCCCUAAUAUUUACAUGCC